rnacentral:rRNA from 1 species
AUGAAGACCUCGACCGUCGUUGGCAGGGUGCAGGCCAAGGGGCACCACUUGCUGAGAAUCGACGGAUACUCCCACACGAAGGCGAUGGUGGCCACCGGCGACCACGUCCUGUCCUGCGGAUUCCCCAUCGGCGGCCGCACCUGGCGCGUCAAGUACUAUCCCAACGGCUCCGCCAAGGAGCAUGCCGACUGGAUCUCCGUCAGCCUUCUUGUUGACCCCGACACCAAGGCAGCAUCCGUGAAGGCGCGCUUCCGCUUCAGCCUUCUUGACAUGGGCGGCGAACCGGUGCCGGAAUACGUCACCAGCAGCAGCGCGAUAUGA